UGCAACUAGCUGCUGCUUACUGCCCAUCUCUUAACUUCUGCCUGGUUUCCCUCUCCUACUCCUGAGAAGGAUGGUGCACAUCUCACAGAUACCAUCUGGACUCGGCAAACUUUGAAGGCAUAAAAAAUAUGUAACAGGAUCAUAUGAAGACAAUGUGACUGCAAAAGAACAACCAGCCACACAUGUGAAAACAAUAAUGCCUUGUUCCCUGACUACAGUUUGGCUACAUGCUGUUAGGCAAGUGGGUUAUGAUAACAGUUUAUAGAGGGCCGUUGUUAAAAAUAAAUAUGUAAUGUAGUGUAAAAUAGGGAUCUCAAACACCCAAUUGCAUAUGUAACAUCCAACUACCUGUAGGAAAAAUAUGGCCUAUUUAAUAUUCAAAAAAUGGCAGUUAAGUCUUUGAUACCAAACCAUAAUAUACACCCAGAGCU